GGAAGCCAGACUAUAAUUAGAAAGUUAUUUGAUUAAUAUGGAGUCAGAACAAGAGGAUUAAAUUCAAUGAUUAGGUCAUUAAACCCUGUACCCCUAUGCUACCAGCUCCACAGAGGGGCUGUUCCUGCCAAGGAGAUUAGAAUCAGCUGUUCCGGCUUGCUUACCUACUCGUUUUUGUUCUUAGCGUGUAAUUUAAUGGUUAAGAGUAGAGGUUUUGGAGUCAAGCCUCUGCCACGAAUCGUGUUGCGCAAACAGCUUACCCUCUACACCUCAGGGUUCUCAGGCUGUAAAAUUGGGAUAAUAAUGGUACGAUUACAGAAUUGCAUCAAGGAUGCAACAAAAUGAUGCAAGUAAAGUCUUUAGCACAGUAUAUAGCACAUAAUAGUUAGCUGUAAAAAAAAAAUUAAUAACCCUUCAGUGGCGGCCAAUCCUGUAAGGACCAAGACCCAAAUCCCUAGGAACCCUUAAAGGCCUCAGUGUGAUUUGGCUGCUACUUCUUCAGCCUCAUCUUGUGCCACAUUCUUCUUUCUGUCUUCUACUUUGGUUUUCUUUUAACAGUUAAACUGAUUGAUUGAUUACUCUCAAAACAAAGCAGAGCUCAUUUUCAUUGACUUACAUUUUUCACAUUGUCCCUUCCUCCCAUUUCUGUCAAGCAGACCCAGGAUUGGUGCUAUGACAGUCCUGGUCUCUGCCCACCGGGAGCUCUAAAUGAGGGGAGAUGCCUGGCUAAUUCCUCCUCAUCCUUCCUGCUCCAGCUCAGCUGCCACUUCCUGGAUGAAGCCUUCAGCUGCCUCCUUCCGGAUGAAAUCUUCACCUACACAGAUUUCUCACAGGGUCCUGUGUUUUCCUACAUGGCACUCAGUGCUGUUUGAAAUUACAUACAGAUCUGGUGAUUAUAUGAUGCAUGUCUCAACUCCCAGUGAGAUCUGUAAGCUCCAUGACAAUAAGAAGAUGAUCAAAUCCUCAACGAUCCCAGUAGAUAGGGCUGGAAGAGUGCAUGGGGUACAAUGAAGACGACGCCGAAGGAGAUAAUAAUGUAACGAUGACAACGUCUGUAAUUUACUGUGACGGGCACUGUUCUAAUGUCCGUGCCUCACAACGGUUUUCGUAAGGCGGAUACUGUUUCUCUUCCUGUUCUGCACAUGAAGGAACUAACGUGUAACGCGUCCAAGUCACACAUCAAAACAGGAGUGGAACCGGGACUUGAGCCUGGCUCUGGGUUCUAAAAUCAUGCUUCUCGUUACAAGUCAAAGGAUAGAUGCCUCACCCUCCCCAAGGUAAUUAACAAUAAAAUUUGGUUUGUAUCUUU